AGGAAACAGCAUCCUCCAUUCAGCUGCUGAUAGUGUGACCAGUGCAGUACAGAAGGCGAGCCAGGCCUUGAAUGAACGUGGGGAACGGUUAGGCCGAGCCGAGGAGAAGACAGAAGACAUGAAGAACAGUGCCCAGCAGUUUGCAGAAACUGCGCACAAGCUUGCAAUGAAGCACAAAUGUUGAAAAACUGCCUAUCCUGGUGACCCUCUUAAGAGAAUGGAAGAGUUCGUUCCGCAGUUUUUACAAGAAUUCCGGACCUCCACUUGCUUCUUUCUUUCCAAUAUACGGACAUUGAGGAUUUUUUGUUCUUCAUUCUCAGAUGUUAAUAUAAAUGAAAAAGGUGUUGUGUUUAUAUAUUUCCCUAAUAAUCUUGCUAAGAAAUGCUGUAACAGCAUCAGCUUCA